UGUCGCAGUUAGUGCUCAUGGAGAUGGGAUAGGGAAUGCUAACACCGCACUUUCCAGGAAGGCUAGAGGCUAGACUUGGAUUGACGUUCUUUGCAGCGGUCUUUAGGCAUUUACAUGCUUGUUGGCGGUCCGGUGUGGUUUUAGCCAUACUGUUCAAUUUUGAAACUCCGGCGCAGCAUGGAGCUGGCACCGGCCCGCCUUUCAUUAGAUAGCUGGCACAUGGAGCCAAGUUACUUGUCACUGUGCCACAUGAGAUUGCUGCAUCUACUGAUGCAACUAUGCACACAGUCAAAACAAGGCAUGUGAAAAAACUCAGAGCCGAAGCCAUUGUCUUUUGCUUUUCUCUUUUUCUUUGUGAUGAUAAGAAAAUAAGGAGACUUAGUUGCUUUUGUGAUUAUAAGCUUGUGUUAUGAUGUUGGAUGUGAGAAAAUGAUGAUGGGUUUAUAUAGGGAAUUUAGAUGGGAAAAUAGGAUGACUAACUACUAACUUAGAAUAUGUUAGACUGUUAUUAGUUGGAUUUGCAUUUAAUGCAUUUCAUUCCUUCUAGUUUUGUCUACUAACGAGAAGAAUUUGUUUCACUGUCACAAUUUUUAUGUACAUAUACGUUAGUCUGUCAGAGACUACGCAAAUAUCUAAUAUUAUACUUUUGUGAAUUUAUUAGUUUACUACACUUUUGGUUGUUUUAGAUAUUAGGUUUGAGCGAUAUUCAAGAAUUGAAAGCCAGUUGCAAAAAAGAAGACAUUACACGACUUGGUAAUCGUACUUGGUAAUCGUAUGUUUUUAUUUUCCCUCUGUAUAGCGGUAAUGAUAUCGCUUAAAGAAUAUUUAUUUUGGUUCGCCCAUUACAUUAGUCAAAAAAAAUAUUUAUUUUGGUUUCGCGCAUAAUCAAUAGUUUAUCAACUAUUAGAGGUACAGUGCCAAUUAAAUUUUAAUACCGUCCAAUUAAAUGGAGUGUGUAGCAGAAGGACACGCGUAUCCAACAGCAAACAUCAGAACUCUCCCAACUAGCCCCAUCACAUUCUUCAAUUUCGUUGGACCACCUUUUUGUUUUCCCAUUAAUUAUCUAAGGAAAAACCUAACUAUGGUCAUUAGAUACAGUACUAUACCGACAAAAAAGUUUUGCCCAACUAUGAAACUUCAAAUAAUAAAACUUACUGCAUCACGCACAAAAAAUAGAGAAAAUCGCUUAAAAAAAUCUUCAAAGUGACACCCACUUACAUUUUAAAUCUUUAGAAUAAUUCAUAAAUACUUUAAAUCUUGAAAGUAACACUUUUAUCGAAAGAAAUUUUCAAUCUAGUUUACUUGUACAUCAAAUCAAAAUGUUAGCCGGUAUUGUUCAAAAUCGAUAAUGCGUCGAUUUUUUUUUUAAUAUUUUAUAAGUAAAAUAAAUUAAAAAAUAAAAAAUUAUAAAAAAUCAUAAAAAAUCAAAACAAAUCAUAAAAGUCACUAAAAAUUUACAAAUCAAAAUAUUCACCAAAAAAAUUUAAAUUAUUUUAUUAAUAAAAUAAAUAUAAAAAUACAUAAAAUAUAAAAUUCAUAAAAAAUACAAAAAAAAUUCACAACAAAUCAUAAAAUCAAUAAAAUUCACAAAAAAUCUAAAUAUUCCCAAAAAAAUACUUUAAAUUAAUAAAAUAAGUAUAAAAUACAGAAAAUAUAAAAAAAAAUCAUAAAAAUUCACAAAAAUCAAGAAUAAAGUUUUAUAAAAGCGACUAAGGAAUAAUGUGCAUUGAGUGUUAUAAACUGGCUACCCUGAAGCUAUCAUUAGUAUCCAUUCUUCCCUUUAACAAUCAUGAAGUUUCCCAAAUCCAACCAACACACACAUAACAUAACAGAUUAAAAAAUAUCCAAAUUGCAGUCGGUCUCUCGUUAUGAUUACUCUAAUUCAGAUUAGAAAAUUCAUUAUCUUCAAAUAAUUCUCGUGAAUGAUUUGUUUUGAAUUUUUUGAAAUUUUUAUAUUUUAUGUAUUUUUAUAUUUAUUUUAUUAAUAAAAUAUUUUAAAAUACAUUUUGUGAAAUUUUUGAUUUUUAUGAAUUUUAUUGAUUUUUUUUAUUUUUAGUGAUUUUAUGAUUUGUUUUGAUUUUUUAUGAAUUUUAUAUUUUAUUUUUUAUAUUUAUUUUACUGAUAAAAUAAAUUUAAAAAAAUUCAAAAAAAAUAGACCCGACACAUCAUCGAUUUUGAACAGAAUCGCUUACCGUUUUGACUUGAUGUAUAAGUAAGCCAAAUUGAAGGUUUUUUUUUAUAAAAGUGUCACUUUAGAGGUUUAAAGUGCUUGUGAAAUGUUCUUAGGGUUUAAAGUGUAAGUGGUUGCCAGCUUAAGGGUUUUUAACGCGAUUUUCCCCAAAAAAUUAUAUAACCUUGAAGAGUUUUAUGCAUCAAUAUGUUACUAGUGUGGCUGUGUUAUAUUUUCUCUAAUGCCACUUCAAGGAUUAAUGUCCUUGCAACCCUCCUUUUUGCUAAAUAAAAUUUUUGAGCAUGGAGAAAAUUUAGUAAAUGUUUAAAGAAAAUAUUGGAAAGAUUAAGGGUGACCCUGAAUGUUAAGACGACAAAAAACAAAAUCCAGAAAAUCAUAAAAGUUAGGACCCACGAUCAUAUAAAUAAAACGGAAUGAAGAAGAUAGAAAAGUGAUUUUGGGAAACUUUUGGUGUAGGAAAUGAUAGAAAAAUGUGUUAGAGAAUAGUCAAAUUUACAGAAUGUGUGUGAAACAUAUGUUAUGUGAUAAAUUAUAUCAGUUCCAGUGAAAAUAAAUACCACAGAAGAGUAGCUCUUAGUGAAGAGCUGAAUGAUACUUUUGUUAUCUAAAAUAAAAUCAUGAGAGGUUACAUAUUUUACCGCUUAAGGGCAUGUGCAAUCCAACUCUAGUUUUUAUCCUAAAAUAAAGUAAAAAUAGAAUAUAGCGUAAAAGAUGCUCCAAACUCAACUUCAUACUUCAUUCCAUAAUGAAAUUUACUUCAUAAAUAGAGUAAUCUAUUUUUUGUCUGUUUAUUACUCCAUUAUGAAGUAAGAAAUAGAAUAAAAUUGAAGCAUUUUUACUCCAUAUUCUUUUUACUCCAUUUUGAAAGAAAAAAUGUAGUUUUAUAUCGGAAAUGCUCCAAUAACUGGAAAAUAUGUUUUAACCCUUUAUGCAGAGGUAAUUAUGUUCUAGAAACCAGCUUGCCGCUAUCCAACUAGUGAAAAAAAUCAAAUACAAGGCACCUGAGAUGUAACAAAAGUGCUAAAACUCAGUGAGGAGCAGAUGAGUCUUUAUAGCACAGGCUGCACAGCCAGAGUUUCUACCAUAACAGACCAUCUUAACAGAGGAAAAACAUCUGAAGUAACAAGUUGAGAUCAAAGAGAUACUAGUAAUUAAAUAAAUAAGAUUCGAAAAAGUUUUCCGAAAGUUUCUGAAUGUCUUCUUCUUAGGACUUACAUACUUGAGAGUACAAUCUAGUUUUCUAGUAGACAGAAAUACUAAGAACAUAAUAAUUAACUACAAAUGAAUGUAAUUUUUCACACUUAAGUGGCUGAUCUCGAGUUAUUGAGUUAUCAACGUUCAUAUCAAAUGGUUGAGUAAUUGACAUCUUAACAAAUAGACUGCAUUUUUGUUGUUCAUGGUCAAUGUGGCAUGUGAUUUUAUCUGGAGUUGCAGGAUCCUACGUCUAGACCAAUAGCAAUCCGCUAGAAUCAGAUAGUUACAAAAGAGAGAUUCGAGCAAGCAAUCGGUACCAGAUGAAGCACAAGAUGGAUCGACUUAUAUGUAAACCGUGACUUCAGAAUCUUGUUUAUUUUGUUUCUAUGUUGGACACACAUCAUUGCGGAGAUAUCGUUGCAAUAAGAAGACUCAAAAGCUGUUUCAGAUUAAGAUAAGGAAGUAGCAUCCUAGUUGUACGAAAAAUGUGUAGUUGAAACUUGAAAUCGUCGUGUAUGAAAAUUUCUUUUGAUACAUAAUUCAAUCUCGAUUGUUAGUAAUAUUGGACUACUUAGUAUAACAAAAACUAUAUUUAACCCUUGUCAUCUAAAAGUUUAUAAUUGGAUGGGAGAAACCAUAUAUAGUAUUUCUUCUUGGUAUUUCUAAUUUGGUUUUAAAUUUGGUACCAAUCUAAAUUUUUUAAAGAUACCAAAAUCUAAGCUCUUAAUAAAUAUAUUUAUAUGGCUCUAUAAUCGGUGGUUAUAGUACUCUCCCAUUCACUAUAUAUAUAUGAUUAAUAUCGGAGAAAAUAUAUAAAGAGACGAUGAUUAAUAGGAUAAUAUUAUCAUAUCUUAAACAUCAUUAAGACACAAUAUAAAGCAAAAGAUUACAAAGUAAUAUGACAAACUUUCGACUGCAAAAUAAAAACAAGACAAACUAGGACAUGCUGAGGUCAGUGUAGAUAGACACUCUUUUAUUUAUGCUAGACCAUACUGUUCAUCCUCACGAUGAUAUAUGAGUUCCCAUUUCACUUGACGCUGCAACAAUACAAACGACCAAGACAGUAAAUUUAGAUCAUUAAAAGAAGUAAAUCAUGGUCUUUUAUCUAGAUCGCGUAAUUAACCACAAAAAGGUAUGUGAAAUUUCACUUAACCAAAAAAAGAAGCUUACGUGUCGCAGUUAGUGCUCAUGGAGAUGGGAUAGGGAAUGCUAACACCGCACUUUCCAGGAAGGCUAGAGGCUAGACUUGGAUUGACGUUCUUUGCAGCGGUCUUUAGGCAUUUACAUGCUUGUUGGCGGUCCGGUGUGGUUUUAGCCAUACUGUUCAAUUUUGAAACUCCGGCGCAGCAUGGAGCUGGCACCGGCCCGCCUUUCAUUAGAUAGACGGCACAUGGAGCCAAGUUACUAGUCACUGUGCCACAUGAGAUUGCUGCAUCUACUGAUGCAACUAUGCACACAGUCAAAACAAGGCAUGUGAAAAAACUCAGAGCCGAAGCCAUUGUCUUUUGCUUUUCUCUUUUGUCUUGUGAUAAGAAAAUAAGGAGACUUAGUUGGUUUUAUGAUUCUAAGC
rnacentral:lncRNA from 1 species